rnacentral:rRNA from 1 species
AUUGAACGCUAGCGGGAUGCCUUACACAUGCAAGUCGAACGGAGUGGCAAACGCGGGAGUAUGGUAACGGAACGUGCCCCGUAGCGGGGGAUAACUACGCGAAAGCGUAGCUAUUACCGCAUACUCUUGGAGCGGACGAUAUCCGAUUAGCUAGUUGGAGGGGUAACGGCUCACCAAGGCGACGACCCGUAGCUGGUGUGAGAGGACGACCAGCCACACUGGGACUGAGACACGGCCCAGACUCCUACGGGAGGCAGCAGUGGGGAAUAUUGGACAAUGGGGGCAACCCUGAUGCAGCCAUCCCGCGUGUGCGAAGAAGGCCUUCGGGUUGUAAAGCACUUUUGGUAGGAAAGCGGUACCUGCAGAAUAAGCACCGGCUAACUACGUGCCAGCAGCCGCGGUAAUAC